UCACGGACAACACUUGAACCAGACCACAGACCUGAACUCUGAGCUUGGUGGAUACGAGUCAAGACAUCACUGGACUAAUGAAAAGGAUUCACCAUAUCUUAGGACUUUUUACUGGAGCCUUAAGAGAUAGGACAGCUGUUAUUCAAGUCAACAACAUCAUAAUGCAGAGUUCAUUUUCAAUACCACCGAAAGAUCAAGAUCUCUCCCUGCUUCCCAGCCCUGUGGAGAAACUGCUGACUCAGAAGAUGUUGGAAUCUCCUGGAAAGACAACCUGUACAGGCGAACCAAAUAUCCCUCCUGGGACGAUUCACAGUGGGAAAGGCCUGCAGAAUAAGAGUCAGUUUAGAACCAUCGCUCCAAAGAUUGUACCCCAAGUCGUGGCACCCAGAGUGCUGCCAAGCACGGUGCCCUCACUCUCUGAUCAGGCGAAUCCAGGCCCUUCCCUCGGCUCCAAGCCCCUGGGGAUGCCCCCGCCGAAUUAUGCGCUGAUGCAGCUGGCUGGCCAGGAAGGGACCUUCUCGCUGAUUGCUCUGCCGCACAUGGCCUCAGCUCAGCCGAUCCAGAAACCCCGGCUGCCUCUGCCCGAGAACCUAAAGCUGCCCAUCCCCCGGUACCAGCCCCCAAGACCCGGCAAAGGAGUCAGCAAGAAGCCGGGGCUUGGUUCCUCCUCCGAGAGGGGCUGCAGCAAACCUGCCCAAACCCAAGCAGCCCCUACCCCACCUGAGCAUCCUGAACCCCCGCACAAGCCCAACCCACCCAAGCCGGCACCAGACCAAGCCCCAGCUACGCUGACCAACAGGAGUGGCCACCGAGACCCCAGGCCUCCAGGGACCAGCAACCACGGAGGUUGGACUCCUCCUGCCACCCCAGCACUGGCCACACCGGAGGAGCCUUCUGCCGAGCAGGGCCCCCCGAAGAGUUCAGGAAGAGCGAAAGUUCCAGGCAAGAAAACCCCCAGGAAACCUGCUGUUGCCAGUGAAAAACCUCAAGAACCGGUUGAUGCCACCAAAGCCAUUUUGUCGUCACCAGGCAUCAUUGGAAACGCAGUCCAGGUGCCCUCUUCCGUCCCCAGAGGUAAACUGCCCAUCCUACCCUACUCGAGAGUGAAGACCACGCAGGUUUGCAGGAGCGGAGCCGCAGUGAACACUGCGCAUGUCCCCUUCCUUGGGCUCAGGACUGCUGGAGACCAGACCCCUUCCAUCCCGGAAGGCUUCAGUGCGGCCCCACAGGUGGGGGACAGGGGCCCUGCCCCACCAGCUCCCGGGCAGAGCCCCGGCGACAGUGCCUUCUGUCCAGCCACCAAGCCCGACCUUAACCACAAAACAAAACUGAACGGUGAGACAGCGAAGAGAAGAGGAAGAAAACGCAAGGGCCCAGACGAACUUUUGACAUUUCAGGGGAAAAGGUGGAAAUGUGUCCUUAGUUGUAAAGACAGCAAAGAAAGAGUCAAAAGUGAUCCCCAAGAAUCCAGGGACCAAAAACCGGAGGCCGUGAAAAAAUACCGGAGCAUCAUGCCCAAACCUGUCCUGGUCCUGCCAGCCCUGGCCUCACCCCCGGCCACCCUCCAGCCCCUGCCACCUGGGAGCUUGGGACACUUGUCUUUCGAUCACUCCCUGGCCCCCAAGCAUCUGGACUGGAAGGAGGACGGCCAGCCCCCAAAGCUCGACUCUGCCUUCAGAAACGGGUUCUCCGGCCUCAGGAAGACUUGGCACAGGUGCCACGUGUGUGACCACCCCUUCCCGUCCAAGCAGCACCUCCGCGAGCACACGAGUGCACCCCCGGACAGCCGGCCCUACAGCUGCCGGCUCUGCAGAAAGGUGUACAAGCGGCGGGGCAGCCUGAGCGCGCAUGUGCGGCUGCACCACGGGGACUCCCGACCCAGGAAGCUUGUGUGCUGCGAGUUCUGCGCCAAGGUGUUCGGCCACGUCAGAGUGUACUUCGGCCACCUGAAAGAGGUGCACGGUGUGGCCAUCAGCACCGAGCCCUCCCCCUGCGAGCCGCAGCCGGGGGACCUGCCGAGGACCCCUUGCCAGGUGGAGGGACUGGUGGAGCGGGAGAUCAAGUCCAGCCUGGAAGAAGACCUCAUGAACCAGAAUGACGAGGCCAGGUUCCAGAUCAGAUGUGGUCGCUGUCAGAUCACUGCCCAGUCUCUGGCUGAAAUCAAGUUCCACCUGCUUUCCGUUCAUGGCGAGGAAAUCCAGGGCCAGUUGCCAGAGGAGCGCUCACCCUCCCCCAGAAGCAGAGCAGCUCAGGGAGAACUGACUAAACAGGCUGCUCCUUUCUGGAAACGUCCUGAGAGAAGGAAGCUGCUCAGGCAUCAUCCCUCAGCUGGGGAGUUCUGUGCAGUCCCCAGACUGAAAAGACAACUUUACCUCUAUCAUCAGAACGACAUGGAAACACUCACGAAACAGGAACAAGCCCAGCCAGGACCCAGUGAGCCCAGGGGAGACCCCCAGGGCCCCAGGUGUCCUGGCCCCCAGGCUGCCCUCCCCCUGCCCCACUCUGGCUUUAACUGUGUCCUUUGUGUGCAGAUACUAGGAAGCAAAGAAGAGCUACUUCUCCACUGGGAGCGGCAACACAAGUGUGAGGACCCCCCCAAACUGUGGACAAUUUUCAGCACGCUCUCCAACCAGGGAGUUGUCCAACUUUCCAGCAAAACCGGAAAAUGA
rnacentral:lncRNA from 1 species